GACGAACGCUGGCGGCGUGCUUAACACAUGCAAGUCGAACGGACAGGCCCUGCUUUUGUGGGGUGCUCGAGUGGCGAACGGGUGAGUAACACGUGAGUAACCUGCCCUUGACUUUGGGAUAACUUCAGGAAACUGGGGCUAAUACCGGAUAGGAGCUCCUGCUGCAUGGUGGGGGUUGGAAAGUUUCGGCGGUUGGGGAUGGACUCGCGGCUUAUCAGCUUGUUGGUGGGGUAGUGGCUUACCAAGGCUUUGACGGGUAGCCGGCCUGGGAGGGUUGCCGGCCACCUUGGGACUGAGAGACGGCCCAGACUGCAACGGGAGGCAGAAGUGGGGAAUAUUGCACAAUGGGGGGAAGUCUGAUGUAGCAGCGCCGCGUGCGGGAUGACGGCCUUCGGGUUGUAAACCGAUUUCGCCUGUGACGAAGCGUGAGUGACGGUAACGGGUAAAGAAGCACCGGCUAACUACGUG
rnacentral:rRNA from 1 species